UACGUAGGUGGCAAGCGUUGUCCGGAAUUACUGGGCGUAAAGCGUGCGCAGGCGGUGAUGUAAGACAGAUGUGAAAUCCCCGGGCUCAACCUGGGAACUGCAUUUGUGACUGCAUCGCUGGAGUACGGCAGAGGGGGAUGGAAUUCCGCGUGUAGCAGUGAAAUGCGUAGAUAUGCGGAGGAACACCGAUGGCGAAGGCAAUCCCCUGGGCCUGUACUGACGCUCAUGCACGAAAGCGUGGGGAGCAAACAGG
rnacentral:rRNA from 1 species